rnacentral:lncRNA from 1 species
AGCUAACCUCAUUCAGCUUGACCUAACACCUAGUUCAAAUAAACCAUAUCCAAAUCUUUCUUUAUAUGAUGUUUCCCAUUAUGGAAUCUCUCAAUGAUGUGUUAAAAGACUCACCAAAGGAUUCAUUUGGAAGAAUCUCUUCAAUCAAAAGCAUGAAAAGGAAAAGCAUACUUUCACAGAUUAGAAACAUAUCUUUUGCAUCUGUUCCAGAUAGCUCUUCAUCAGAAGAGAGCAAAGUGCCCAAGACUCCUCCCAGAAGUACCAAUGUUGAGACCAAUCCUGAAAAUAAAUUUUUAUAUCCAUGUCUUAAGUUUCCAAAUUUAAAAGGUAGUGGGACCAUGGCUGAAGAUGAUAAAGGCAACUUUGUGCAAGUCAGUCUUGGUGAAAUCCUGUCCAUAAUUGAACCCAUUAGUAAACAAAUGGAGGAAGAUAAAAAACACAAAGUGGAGCCAUCCAGAUUUUUUGAUGCAACGGUUGCACCAACUUCACAAAGUUUGCUCUCAAGCCCUGUUAUCUAUAACAUGCCUUUUGUCAAGGAAGAUGAAAAAGGAAAAUCAUACUAUGAAUGGAGAGGAAUUGUCUCAGAAAACUAUGAUACACAUCGUGUUUGUAAAGAGGGUUGGCUUAAUAAAAGUCGGCAUUCACUGUACCAAGAAUAUCUGAAUAAUGUAAGUAUAAAUGAGAUAGUCUAUAGCACUAUAAGGAAG